GUCCACGCCCUAAACGAUGUCGACUAGUUGUUCGGGAAGGUGACUUCUUGAGUAACGUAGCUAACGCGUGAAGUCGACCGCCUGGGGAGUACGGUCGCAAGAUUAAAACUCAAAGGAAUUGACGGGGACCCGCACAAGCGGUGGAUGAUGUGGAUUAAUUCGAUGCAACGCGAAAACCUUACCUACCCUUGACAUGUCUGGAAGUCUGCAGAGAUGCGGAUGUGCCUUCGGGAACCAGAACACAGGUGCUGCAUGGCUGUCGU
rnacentral:rRNA from 1 species